CUAUUUUUCUUUUAUCACUGAGUGAUAGCUGGAUAUGAUGACUGAUUACCUGAGAAAUAAUUGAUGAAAUAUCAAGAAAAUUCCUCUAGAUAGUCAAGUUCUGAUCCAGCUAUGUCAACUCAGAACAACAAAUUUG
rnacentral:miRNA from 1 species